rnacentral:rRNA from 1 species
UCGAGCGGAGANGAGGUGCUUGCACCUUAUCUUAGCGGCGGACGGGUGAGUAAUGCUUAGGAAUCUGCCUAUUAGUGGGGGACAACAUUUCGAAAGGAAUGCUAAUACCGCAAACGCCCUACGGGGGAAAGCAGGGGAUCUUCGGACCUUGCGCUAAUAGAUGAGCCUAAGUCGGAUUAGCUAGUUGGUGGGGUAAAGGCCUAACAAGGCGACGAUCUGUAGCGGGUCUGAGAGGAUGAUCCGCCACACUGGGACUGAGACACGGCCCAGACUCCUACGGGAGGCAGCAGUGGGGAAUAUUGGACAAUGGGGGGAACCCUGAUCCAGCCAUGCCGCGUGUGUGAAGAAGGCCUUUUGGUUGUAAAGCACUUUAAGCGAGGAGGAGGAGCUCUAGAUUAAUACUCUAGAUGCUUGGACGUUACUCGCAGAAUAAGCACCGGCUAACUCUGUGCCAGCAGCCGCGGUAAUACAGAGGGUGCAAGCGUUAAUCGGAUUUACUGGGCGUAAAGCGUGCGUAGGUGGUCUUUUAAGUCGGAUGUGAAAUCCCUGAGCUUAACUUAGGAAUUGCAUUCGAUACUGGGAGACUAGAGUAUGGGAGAGGAUGGUAGAAUUCCAGGUGUAGCGGUGAAAUGCGUAGAGAUCUGGAGGAAUACCGAUGGCGAAGGCAGCCAUCUGGCCUAAUACUGACACUGAGGUACGAAAGCAUGGGGAGCAAACAGGAUUAGAUACCCUGGUAGUCCAUGCCGUAAACGAUGUCUACUAGCCGUUGGGGUCUUUGAGACUUUAGUGGCGCAGCUAACGCGAUAAGUAGACCGCCUGGGGAGUACGGUCGCAAGACUAAAACUCAAAUGAAUUGACNGGGGGCCCGCACAAGCGGUGGANCAUGUGGUUUAAUUCGAUGCAACGCGAAGANCCUUAC